UACGUAGGGGGCAAGCGUUGUCCGGAUUUAUUGGGCGUAAAGAGCGUGUAGGCGGCCAGGUAGGUCUGCUGUGAAAACUCGAGGCUCAACCUCGAGACGUCGGCGGAAACCAUCCAGCUAGAGUCCGGAAGAGGAGAGUGGAAUUCCUGGUGUAGCGGUGAAAUGCGCAGAUAUCAGGAAGAACACCCGUGGCGAAAGCGGCUCUCUGGGACGGUACUGACGCUGAGACGCGAAAGCGUGGGGAGCAAACAGG
rnacentral:rRNA from 1 species